UCCGAGUUGACCCCGGCAGUCUCCUAUGAGUCCCCACCAUCACGUGCUGGCAACAUAGAACGAGGGUUGCGCUCGUUGCGGGACUUAACCCAACAUCUCACGACACGAGCUGACGACAACCAUGCACCACCUGUGCACCGACCCAAAGGGGGAACACAUCUCUGCGUUUUACCGGCACAUGUCAAGCCUUGGUAAGGUUCUUCGCGUUGCAUCGAAUUAAUCCGCAUGCUCCGCCGCUUGUGCGGGCCCCCGUCAAUUCCUUUGAGUUUUAGCCUUGCGGCCGUACUCCCCAGGCGGGGCGCUUAAUGCGUUAGCUGCGGCACGGACCCCGUGGAAUGGGACCCACACCUAGCGCCCAACGUUUACGGCAUGGACUAC
rnacentral:misc_RNA from 1 species